rnacentral:rRNA from 1 species
AUGACCGCUCCUACCCCAGGAGCCAGAAAACGUCCAAACCCGCCUGCCGUUCUCACCCGCGAGGACCCUUUCUUCCUCCCGGACCCAAGAAGGACUCUGCUCAAAAUCUCGCCAACCUCCGGGCCACCAUCGCCAUCACCAUCACUCCUUCCAAAAUCCCCAUCCAGACGAGCAUUUGGAUUGCUAUUCCUUUGUCCGCUUCGCCCAAAAGUUAAAGCGGCGGCGUGCCGUUGUCCGCUUCUCCGCCAGUUCCGUUCCACCUGUGCUCCACCAGCCCAUCCCUCUUCUAGACCGGCUUCAAGAAAAGACUGGUUCUGGCUCUGGCUCUGGCUCCUCCGCUUUCCCAACCGCCUGGCUGAACUUCUCGCGGGGGCUCCGGUGAGAAUCGCGGGGCUGCUUGUUUGGGCGGAGGCCAGAGGCGAUUCAGCUGCUGGGAGGCCUGCACUACGAAAUCCAGUUCGCGGUGGAUGGAGUGAUGCUGCGGGUGUGCUCGAUAAGGUUCUUGCUUGCCUGAUAAGCAAGGUUUCUUUUGGUGGUUCCUCCUCCUGCCGACCAAGACACACAAAAUCUAAGCCUGUUCACACCUUCUAUUGCUUCAAUUUCCGAGUGCUCUUGCUGCCUGAGAUGACAUCAGUUUUGAGGGAUUGCAUGCCUUGGACUCUGGAACAGAUUCAUCAUCUGUACUCUCUUCAGCUGUUCUAG